GUAGUCUGCAACCCGACUACAUGAAGCUGGAAUCGCUAGUAAUCGCGGAUCAGAAUGCCGCGGUGAAUACGUUCCCGGGUCUUGUACACACCGCCCGUCACACCAUGGGAGUCGGAAAUGCCCGAAGUCAGUGACCCAACCGUAAGGAGGGAGCUGCCGAAGGUGGAGCCGGUAACUGGGGUGAAGUCGUAACAAGGUAUC
rnacentral:rRNA from 1 species